GGGAUAGUUCGUUAAAGGCCGUAGGUAUAUGGACUGUAGUUAAGUACGCAGACCAUGCUGAAAGCUGAUAGUACUUGAAACCUUCGGGGGACGAGACAGUUCAGGUAAUCAGACUUCCAAGAAAACCCGCUAAGCUUCAGGUUAUAAAAACCCGUUCCGUAAACCGACACAGGUAGUCGAGGAGAGAAUCCUAAGGUGCUCGAGUGAAUCAUGGCUAAGGAACUCGGCAAAAUGGCCCUGUAACUUCGGGAGAAGGGGCGCUUUCAGCAAUGGAAGCCGCAGUGAAAAGGCCCAGGCGACUGUUUAACAAAAACACAUGGCUUUGCAAAAUCGAAAGAUGACGUAUAAGGCCUGACACCUGCCCGGUGCCGGAAGGUUAAGAGGGGAUGUUAGUCGCAAGGCGAAGCAUUGAAUCGAAGCCCCGGUAAACGGCGGCCGUAACAAUAACGGUCCUAAGGUAGCGAAAUUCCUUGUCGGGUAAGUUCCGACCUGCACGAAUGGUGUAACGAUCUGGGCGCUGUCUCAGCCAUGAGCUCGGUGAAAUUGUGGUAUCGGUGAAGACGCCGGUUACCCGCAACGGGACGGAAAGACCCCAUGCACCUUCACUACAACUUAACAUUGGUAUCGGAUACAGGAUGUGUAGGAUAGGUGGGAGACUGUGAUCUGGCUUCGCUAGGAGUCAGUUAGUCAACGUUGAAAUACCACCCUUUCUGUAUUUGGUGUCUAACCCUGCAUAGCGGGGGACAUUGUUUGGCGGGUAGUUUGACUGGGGUGGUCGCCUCCAAAAAGGUAACGGAGGCUUUCAAAGGUAAGCUUAGUACGCUUGGUAACCGUACGUGGAGUGCAAUAGCAUAAGCUUGCUUGACUGUGAGGCAGACAAGCCGAGCAGGGUCGAAAGACGGAUAUAGUGAUCCGGUGGUUCUGCAUGGAAGGGCCAUCGUUCAAAGGAUAAAAGGUACGCUGGGAUAACAGGCUGAUCUCCCCCAAGAGCUCAUAUCGACGGGGAGGUUUGGCACCUCGAUGUCGGCUCGUCACAUCCUGGGGCUGGAGAAGGUCCCAAGGGUUGAGCUGUUCGCUCAUUAAAGUGGCACGCGAGCUGGGUUCAGAACGUCGCGAGACAGUUCGGUCCCUAUCUGUUGUGGGCGCAGGAAGUUUGAGUGGGGCUGACCUUAGUACGAGAGGACCGGGUUGGACUAACCUCUGGUGAAUCUGUUAUGGCGCCAGCUGUAUUGCAGAGUAGCUACGUUGGGAAUAGAUAAGCGCUGAAAGCAUCUAAGUGCGAAACUAGCCACAAGAUGAGACUUCCAUUGAGGGUCGUAGGAGACUACUACUUUGAUAGGUCAUAGGUAUAAAGGUGGUGACAUCAUAGCCAAGUGAUACUAAUUGCCCAA
rnacentral:rRNA from 1 species